AAAGCGGGUCAUUCUUCAGGUGAC
rnacentral:siRNA from 1 species